ACCCUAUAGUCUGUAAUAACCUCGGGAAACUGAGGGUAAGGACGGAUAAAUCAUGAAUACUGGAAUGUUUUAUGGUUGAACAUUGAACGAUAGGACGGGGCUGCGGCUGAUUAGGUAGUUGGCGGGGUAAAUGCCCACCAAGCCUUUGAUCAGUAAGGGCCUUUAGCGAGGAAGCCCUGAGAGGGAGUCUGAGAUACUACUCCCAGCCCUACGGGGUGCAGCAGUCGGGAAACUUCUGCAAUGCGCGCAAGCGUGACAGAGCAAGCCAGAGUGCGUUUCUUUUUUUGAAACGCUUUUGUGAGAUGCAAAAAGUCUUACGAAUAAGGACUGGGCAAGACUGGUGCCAGCCGCCGCGGUAAUCCCAGCAGUCCAAGUCGCAGCCACAAUUAUUGGGUCUAAAACAUCCGUAGCUUGCUGUGCAAGUCUUUUGUCAAAUCGGGCCUCUUAAGGGUCCGGCGAGCACAAGAUACUGCGCAGCUAGGGACCGGUAGACGUAAAGAGUACGAAUAGAGUAGCGGUAAAAUGUGUUGAUCCUAUUCGGACUAACGACAGCGAAGGCACUUUACGAGCACGGAUCCGACAGUGAGGGAUGAAGGCUAGGGGCGCAAAGUGGAUUAGAUACCCAUGUAGUCCUAGCAGUAAACACUGCACACUAAACAUUAGUGCCUCUUCGGGAGGCAUUAGUGCUGUAGGGAAGCCGGAGAGUGUGCUACCUGGGAAGUAUAGCCGCAAGGCCGAAACUUAAAGGAAUUGGCGGGGGAGCACAA
rnacentral:rRNA from 1 species